UACGUAGGGUGCGAGCGUUGUCCGGAAUUAUUGGGCGUAAAGGGCGCGUAGGCGGCUUGGCAAGUGGAUGGUGAAAUCCCUCGGCUUAACCGAGGAACUGCCGUCCAAACUGCUUCGCUUGAGACCGGGAGAGGUGAGUGGAAUUCCCAGUGUAGCGGUGAAAUGCGCAGAUAUCAGGAAGAACACCCGUGGCGAAGGCGGCUUUCUGGGACGGUACUGACGCUGAGACGCGAAAGCGUGGGGAGCGAACAGG
rnacentral:rRNA from 1 species